rnacentral:tRNA from 1 species
GGGCCGGUGGUCUAGUGGUAUGACGUCGCGCUUACAACGCGAAGGUCGCAGGUUCAAUGCGAACCUUUUCCAGACGCUUCCGCGAGUCAAAAAAGGCUCGCCACCCAAAAGGUCGUUGGGAAUCCUGCCCGGCCCA